rfam:Capsicum annuum cultivar Zunla-1 chromosome 5, whole genome shotgun sequence
AUACUUACCUGGACGGGGUCAAUGGGCGAUCAUGAAGGCCCAUGGCCUAGGUUGGUGACCUCCAUUGCACUUUCGUGGGCUGCUUGCCUAAGGUCGAGCCUACAUCAUAAUUUGUGGCAGCGGGGGGCUACGUUCGCGCGGCCCCUAC